ACGCACGACCUUUAUUUCGACGGUAAACGUUGCAGAUUGAUAACUGCGGAAACUUCACGUCAUUUCUUGCUGACUUUUUGUGGUUUUGAUGACUGGCGCCUCGAGCUCUUCUCCUGGUCACUCCUCGAUAAUGCGUCUUCGUUGUCGUUGUACGUGACGCCAGUCAUCUGUCAGCGAAGAAUCGUGAUCGAAAGAAGUGCUGCUACUUGUGUCAUUGACCUAAUCAUCUGGAUGUUUAAGGCUCGACCAGCCUCUUUGCGGAAGUGUCACCAGCGUCCUUUUGUUACUCAUCGUUGUCAGGUUCUGCCAUUUCCUCCCGGUCUUGGUCACUCCAGCAGAAGCCAGUCUUCUUGUGUUUCGCUAGUUCCUACGCGCCGUGCGUACUAGCUACUGUGCGUCAGUAGAGCUGGCGUUGAAAGCGCCGGUGAAACUCUCCUCGGCUCUAGCGCCGGCUGCGUCAAGCUGUCCGUUCAGACGGAACAAUAACAAGCGCUUAAAGGGGUCUUCGAACGCUUCUUAAGCAUGAGGUUUCCGGUUCUUUUAUGAAGCCUUCAAGGAAUCGGAUUCAUUGGACAUUGCUGGACAUGAAUCUCGAAUGCCUGUGCAUUGGAACCAUUCAGCUGCAUGACUGUUAUGAAUUCCACAAUGAGAUGCUAACGUGGCCAUGUUCAUUGACUCUGGCCUUUGAUGGGUAUUGCUGGAAAAUUCACAUUGAAGAUUUGCUUUUCCACUCGUUAGUCUACGAAUUUGUAAAGAAAAGAGUUGGCAUUAUUACAGCACUUGAUGAAGCUCUUGUUUGGUCUAGUUGUUGCACUCAUGAAUUCAGUAUGGCUGUGUGAUAAAACAUGUACAAAGAGCAAGCAGUACACCAAAUGAGCUCAAUUAUUGUGCCUGUCCUGUCUACUUGUCUUUCUUAAUGUCUGUCUUUGUGCACUGUCUACAGUGUUUAAGUUUAAAAUGUCAGCAUUAAUGGACUGUUCCUGUGUUUUCAACGUAUUAUUGGGGGCUGGGUAGUUGGUCGUGCAUACUCUUGUCUUUUUAGGAGUGUUUAGCAGUGCACAUGUUCAUGAGGUGCAGGUGAGAGAAAAACAUUUUGGUGUAAAUUACCUGAGCACCUUGGAAUGGAAUUAUGAUUUUGCUCUGCAGUAUGUUAACAGUAAUGAUUUUAAAAUAAGUUCACAGUGGAAGUCUUGGUCUCCUUCACUAUUCAUUAGUCAUUGUUAUCUGUUGUCUAUGUAGUCCUGCAUCAUGCUUUCAAGUCAGCAGAAUGUCAUAAGUGACAUAGACCAAGUAAAUGUAUUUUCUCUCUACUGUGACACUGUCAGGGGAACUUAAAUGCACCCAAAUACUAUUUUGUUUUUAUAUUUUUAAUAUUUUUUGGCUCAUUUUGAUCAUGUCCUUUCAUUGAUCUAUGCACUGAUGCAUUUUAUGUGCUCAUGGCAUGAGGCUUCAUGUUUAAAUUCUUUGUAUUGUUUUGUUAAGUUGGUGUGCAAAUUAACACAGGAAUACAUUUAGGUAACAUAACAGAUAAUUUACAAGUGUGGCUUUCCAGUAUAACUGGCCUAUUUAUUUGGAAUAAUUAGUUUUAUGUAGUCAUGAAGGGCCCCUGAACCACCCAGAGGUUAGAAUUUAGUUUUAAUGUUGCAGUUGUGUGCGAGUCUACAACGAACAUGUAGCUUUGAAACUUCUUUGAAAAAGUGCCGUAAUAGCGGAUUGCAAUGUGUUUGCUGGUCCAAAAGAAGCCCUUGCUCGUUUCGUUCUUUUCUUCACUCUGCUUCGUUGAUCGGCUCGUCUGUCCUUCUGGUUGUGCCAGAAGGAAAAGCGGCGAGUGCAUGUACCCCUGCAAGCAGGCAAACAGGUCUCGCAGAUGAUGAGCAGACUUGUAGUUGACAUCACGGCGAAUACUUCAUGGGCUAUUCCCUGCUGAAAUGCGUGGUGAGGAGGAGAGACUGUUUCUUAAUAUUUGCGGGGCACCUGUGGCUCAUAGCGUUGUGUCUUUUGGCACUGUUGAUUGUGACGGCAUUCUGAACUCAAUGCGUGCGUUCACUUGAAAUGUUAAAAAAUCAUUGGAAGUGACUUGAGAGCCCUUGGGGAAGGGAUGUGGCAAUGGAAAUGUUAAAUUCGGUCCAUAUGAUCCAUUUUUCAGUUUAUAUUUAUUUGCAAUCCUUGGACCAUCUCUUAUGUCAUGGUGAAAUAGAGCGAAGUAAGCAGUCAGUGUUAAGAAACACUUAAAUAGCAUGUUGUGAUCAAUAACCAUAUGAAAAUUCUGCUUUGUAAAGUGAAAAUCUUGCAGAUUUUCCUUGUCUCAGUGCCGCCAUCCUGGCAUCAUUGUCGAGAGGACAGAUUGUAGCUCGAAGUACCCACACUUUUGCAUUUCUCCUGUGAACAAUAGAACAAGUUUGCUUCGCAGUUCUUUUUUUUUUUUUAACUCCAUUUUUUUCAAGCUUCAUGUUAUCAGCUUCCAUAUUUUUUUUAUGCAGUUGCUGUCAAUCAUCCAUGUGCCAUUUUACAUCAAAUAGAUAUAUGACCCUUUGAUUUUUGCACUUAGAUCCUGACAUUCGAAAGGGUCAGCGCCGUGAAACCACUAGUAUUUGUCGGCACAUCAUACGGAUUUUUAUAAUUGGCUUUUUGUAAGAGUUGUUAGUAAGACUAUAUAAUAAAUUAUAGGGCAUUUAAAAGACUUUUGUGUGCUCAUUCAAAUAUUCGGAAAUGAUGAGUUCUACAGCACAGAUUGUGCCCUUGUGAAUAUUCUUAUGUAAAAGUUUAACAUUCGUUAACUAACAGUGGCAUGACAGAAACUGCAACAUAUAGCUUAAAACUAAUUUCAGUUAUAUCGUCAUAUAAAAUCAUAUAUACAUGCCAGAUUUCACCACUUUGUCUCCACACGUAAUGAAAAUAAUUUGUAUUAUUAUUUAACUCCUCAAAAGGGCCCUGCAAUGCUUUUUUAAUAAUCAUUUAAUGGCUUCAUCAAAACAAUACAUUGGCUCAUGAAUUCACUGCCACAAGACUUUUAGGAUUACGAGAAGAGUUACCGGGAUAUUUCGUCUCCUUACGUUUAAGCGAGAGUGCUGAAACUUGCGCAGGGAAGGGCUAAUAAAGAAGGAGGGACUAUUAAUGAGCUCACGAAGGUAUUCCAUUAUGUUUUUGAUUUUUGGUCUACAGUGCAGACUAGCAAGACACAGGACAGAGUCAACGGGAUUUUCAGCAUUUUUUCUGUUUACAUGACUUUACAUGAGCUGAUAACGGAGUUCUCUUAGAUUGAGAAGCUUAGAUCUUUAGACACGAAGCUUGUGUUCCUGUCAGAAUGUAUGUGCUGGAAAUGCGCUCCCUGUCUCGGAAAGGCCUGCUUCCUUUAAGUUCAGCCCACUCUAAGCUUGUGAAGUGGGGAAUACCCAAAGCAUGCAUGAUGGAAUCCCUGUCAAGGUCCUGCUUCACGAGGUUGAGAGCGAUUUCGACAACCAAAUUGACCGUCUUAACAGGUAUUUGCUCUCGGGCAUAACUGAGUUGCUGUUCAGUGAUUUGAAGCAGGGAAGGAGUUCGCGACACUCAGGUCGAGACGAGCCAAAGCUGAAAGUUUCUGCCAUGCGGUGUGUGCACAAGGUCUCGCACCGCUUGAAAAGAAUUGUGAAAAAAUAGCAGUGAGUAUUGUAACGAAAUAAGCUAGGGUCCUUUUGCAAGAGAGUGAAUUCUGAAAGCACUUCGAGAGUUGGGUGUAAUAACAAUCGUACAAAGAAAAUUUUUACAUUGUAGUAUUGGAGUUGUGUUCUGCAUUUUUUUUAUCAUGUGGUUGAUGAUACGUCGGCCAAAUGCGGUGUUGUCUGAAAGACUGCCUCAGGCAACACAUGCGGAGAUGUGUAAGUAGCCAUUGAGCAAUUCACAAUGCCAAGUCGGAGUACACCUCCAUGUUUCAUGAUUAAAUGGCAAGGUAUGGGGGAUAAGAGGGCACAUGAAAUAUAAGAAGGUUUUUUAUUUGCAAGGCAGGAACGGCGUGUGUGAGCGUCCCGUCUGUCAACUUGUUAGACAAUCAAUACUGGAAUCUUUUGAAGGGUCAUUUCAACAUGUCAAUAUGCUGUGUUGUGCACACGCUGUCGCUUUCUCUUUCUCAUUGUUAUUGCGUCGCCUUGCCCACCCAGUUGGCAAUAUAGGAUUUCUAGCAUUAGAGCAAUAAGCUGGUUGUAAGUGUGCACUCCGUCCUUUAUCAAUUUUUUCCUGAAAUCCUUUGUGCACAAAACAAGGAGCAUUUACAUGUUGGAGCUUUCAAAUUUGGCUCAAAUGUUCUCGGGAGGUUCAACUACUGACAUGCAGCAUUUUUGGACAUUGCUCGAAGUUUGCAGUAUCCCUUGAAGUUAAAUAUCUUCUCUUUUAUGUGGUAAUUUAAAUACUGAAACCUAAUAAAUGAAUAAGCUGCA
rnacentral:lncRNA from 1 species